CUACGGGGCGCUGCAGUGGGGAAUAUUGGACAAUGGGGGAAACCCUGAUCCAGCAAUGCCGCGUGUGUGAAGAAGGCCUGCGGGUUGUAAAGCACUUUCGGUUGGGAGGACUGCUUCUAGCACUAAUAUUGUUGGAAGUUGACGUUACCUUCAGAAGAAGCACCGGCUAACUCGGUGCCAGCAGCCGCGGUAAUACGGAGGGUGCAAGCGUUAAUCGGAAUUACUGGGCGUAAAGCGCGCGUAGGCGGCUAGAUCAGUCGGGUGUGAAAGCCCCGGGCUUAGCCUGGGAACUGCAUCCGAUACUGUCUAGCUUGAGUACAGGAGAGGAGAGUGGAAUUCCACAUGUAGCGGUGAAAUGCGUAGAUAUGUGGAGGAACACCAAUGGCGAAGGCAGCUCUCUGGCCUGAUACUGACGCUGAGGUGCGAAAGCGUGGGGCGCAAACAGGAUUAGAUACCCCAGUAGUC
rnacentral:rRNA from 1 species